AUUGAACGCUGGCGGCAGGCCUAACACAUGCAAGUCGAACGAGUGGCGGACGGGUGAGUAAUGUCUGGGAAACUGCCUUAUGGAGGGUGAUAACUACUGGAAACGGUAGCUAAUAACGCAUACCAUCAGAUGUUCCCAGAUGGGAUUAGCUAGUUGGUGGGGUAACGGCUCACCAAGGCGACGAUCCCUAGCUGGUCUGAGAGGAUGCCCAGGCACGAUGGAGCGGAGACACGGCCCAGACGCCUACGAGAGGCAGCAGAGGGGAAUAUUGCACAAUGGGCGCAAGCCUGAUGCAGCCAUGCCGCGUGUAUGAAGAAGGACUUCGGGUUGUAAAAUGAUGGCAGCGGGGAGGCGGUACCUGCAGAAGAAGCACCGGCUAACUCCGUGCCAGCAGCCGCGGUAAUUC
rnacentral:rRNA from 1 species